rnacentral:SRP_RNA from 1 species
GCCGGGCGCAGUGGCGCAUGCCGGUAGUCUCAGCUACUUGGGAGGCUGAGGUGGAAGGAUUGCUUGAGCCCAGGAGUUCUGGGCUGCAGUGCGCUAUGCUGAUUGGGUAUCCGCACUAAGUUCGGCAUCAAUAUGGUGACCUCCUGGGACCAGGUUGCCUAAGGAGGGGUGAACUGGCCCAGGUUGGAAGCAGAGCAGGUUGAAACUCUUGUGCUGAUCAGUAGUGGGAUCCCGCCUGUGAAUAGCCACUGCACUCCAGCCUGGGCAACAUAGCGAGACCCCAUCUCU